UAACCUUCGGGGGGACGCUUACCACUUUGUGGUUCAUGACUGGGGUGAAGUCGUAACAAGGUAGCGCUAGGGGAACCUGGCGCUGGAUCACCUCCUUA
rnacentral:rRNA from 1 species